CUACGGGCGGCUGCAGUGGGGAAUAUUGCACAAUGGGCGCAAGCCUGAUGCAGCCAUGCCGCGUGUAUGAAGAAGGCCUUCGGGUUGUAAAGUACUUUCAGCGGGGAGGAAGGGAGUAAAGUUAAUACCUUUGCUCAUUGACGUUACCCGCAGAAGAAGCACCGGCUAACUCCGUGCCAGCAGCCGCGGUGAAUACGGAGGGUGCAAGCGUUAAUCGGAAUUACUGGGCGUAAAGCGCACGCAGGCGGUUUGUUAAGUCAGAUGUGAAAUCCCCGGGCUCAACCUGGGAACUGCAUCUGAUACUGGCAAGCUUGAGUCUCGUAGAGGGGGGUAGAAUUCCAGGUGUAGCGGUGAAAUGCGUAGAGAUCUGGAGGAAUACCGGUGGCGAAGGCGGCCCCCUGGACGAAGACUGACGCUCAGGUGCGAAAGCGUGGGGAGCAAACAGGAUUAGAUACCCCUGUAGUC
rnacentral:rRNA from 1 species